GUGAGGAAUUUUGCGCAAUGGGGGCAACCCUGACGCAGCGACGCAGCGUGGAGGACGAAGUCUUUCGGGAUGUAAACUCCUGUCAGUGGGGACGAUAAUGACGGUACCCACAGAGGAAGCACCGGCUAACUCCGUGCCAGCAGCCGCGGUAAGACGGAGGGUGCAAGCGUUGUUCGGAAUUACUGGGCGUAAAGCGUAUGUAGGCGGCAAGUUAAGUUCAAUGUUAAAGCCCACGGCUCAACCGAGGAGAUGCAUUGAAUACUGGCUAGCUAGAGGAUGUUAGAGGAAGACGGAAUUCCCAGUGUAGCGGUGAAAUGCGUAGAUAUUGGGAGGAACAUCGGUAGCGAAAGCGGUCUUCUGGGACAUACCUGACGCUGAGGUACGAAAGCGUGGGGAGCAAACGGGAUUAGAAACCCUAGUAGUCC
rnacentral:rRNA from 1 species